rnacentral:rRNA from 1 species
UGGGGAAUAUUGCACAAUGGGCGCAAGCCUGAUGCAGCCAUGCCGCGUGUAUGAAGAAGGCCUUCGGGUUGUAAAGUACUUUCAGCGGGGAGGAAGGUGUUGUGGUUAAUAACCACAGCAAUUGACGUUACCCGCAGAAGAAGAACCGGCUAACUCCGUGCCAGCAGCCGCGGUAAUACGGAGGGUGCAAGCGUUAAUCGGAAUUACUGGGCGUAAAGCGCACGCAGGCGGUCUGUCAAGUCGGAUGUGAAAUCCCCGGGCUCAACCUGGGAACUGCAUCCGAAACUGGCAGGCUUGAGUCUUGUAGAGGGGGGUAGAAUUCCAGGUGUAGCGGUGAAAUGCGUAGAGAUCUGGAGGAAUACCGGUGGCGAAGGCGGCCCCCUGGACAAAGACUGACGCUCAGGUGCGAAAGCGUGGGGAGCAAACA